GUGACAUGGCUAAGGAAGAAUUAACAUUGCUAAUCAGCUGAACCUAAAAUGGGGAGAUUAUUCUAAGUUAUCAAGGUAGGCCCAGUCUAAUCAUGUGAGCUCUUAAUAUCAGAGUUGGGCAACAUGAAAACAGCCCUCCAUUGCUGGUUGUGAAGAUGGAGGAAGGAAACCAUGAGCCAAGGAAUUCAGUGGCUUCUAGAAGCUGGAAAUGGCACUCAGAUUAUAGCCAGCAAGAAAACACAGACCAUAGACCUAAGUUUCACAGAACUAAAUUCUGCCAACAACUCAAAUGGAGAGGAAAAGGAUUCUCUUUUAGAGCCUUCGGAAAGGGAUAAAGCCUGUUGACAUCUUGAUGAGACUGUAUUAGACUUCUGACCUACAGAACUGUAAGUCAACUGGGGAGCUCAGUGAGAUUCUCCUGCUAUACUCUCAUCAGUUUUAAACGGAGUCUCACUGUGUCACCCAGGCCAGAAUGCAGUGGCACAAUACCAGCUCACUGCAACCUCCACCUCCUGCGUUCAAGCGAUUCUCCUGUCUCAGCCUCCCAAGUAGCUGGGACUAUAGGCAUGCACCACCAUGCCCAGAGUAAAGGAAGAAAAAAAAAUCCAGAAGAAGAAGAAAAACCAGGAAUCGGCCCAAAGGAUUUUGUUUCUUCUCUUUGAGAUGAAUUUUGUAGUAAGAUCUACCCUCUCCACUCUUAAUCCCAGAGCAAAGGAGUCCCCAGCUUUUCACUGGGCAUACCACAUUUCGGCAUAAAGACUAUAUUUGUCAAUCUCCCUUGAAGACAGACACAGCCAUUUGACUUGAUGCUGGCCAAUGGGAUAUAAACGGAAGGGUUGUGUGUGCUUUCAGGGAAGUGCCCAAAAAGAUGGUGGGGCAUCUCUUCCCUUCUCUUUCUCCUCGCUGCUGGCUGGAAUGUGAACAUGAUGUCUGAAAUGUAAGCUUCCAUCUUGGGCUGUCAUAAACAAAAAGUUAGAAGCCUGGCUUCCUGACUGUGAAACCACCAUACCUGCUCUGGACUGUCUGUGUUUAUGUGAGAGAGGAAGACUUUUCUAUCUUUUUAAAGCCAAUGUUACUUUGGGUUUCUAUCACUUUCAGUCUGACAUAACCCUAGCUAAGAGUUCAACCCACGACUACUCUGUGGUGGGGAUAUUUUAUUGUAAAAUUUUAGGGAGCCUGCUGAUUUCUUCCAGAAUAGUUUCUUGUCAUUAGCUUGCUGCCUUUGGGCUUGCUGAGAGAUCAAGCCUGGUUUUAAAAAGCGUGAGAGUUUGUGCUGAAGUACCUGCUUUGCUGGAGGAGUGCCCCUCUCAGAACUCAUGUUGGUCUUUGUUUAGUAAGUUGUACUCAGAAUGGCUAUGGGGGUUUUUGCCAGCAGUCAAGGUUAUGAUGGUGAUACCAGUGUCCUUGGGUACAGUCAGAACAUAGCUGCAGCCCAGCUUUCACCUUCUUACUCAGUGGUCUCAACCCUGCAUGCACCUCAAGGUCUCCUGGGGAGCUUUUAAAAAGUACCGAUGCCUGGGCCUCACUUCAGACCCAUCAAAUCAGAUAUUCUGGGAUGUGGGUCCCAGGUACCAGUUUUUGUUUUGUUUUUAAGAAAGAUAUCAGUAUAAUCUUCUUCCAAGUAAUUUUUCCCCAGAUAAUUCUAUUGUGUCUCCAGGGCUUAGAACCACUUCUCCAAAUGAAUGUUCUCUCACCAUACCCAAUGGUAAUAAACAUGGAAAGGAAAAUCCGGGACCCAGAGAGGUCUCUGUUAGGACCAGUGGUUGUUUGGACCCCACCGGAGCAAACGUGCCAUUUGUUUGCAGUUGUGAAUGGCUUGAGGUCACAGAGCUAGUGGAUAAUGAUGUUAGAAAAGCAAUCAACUUUGUCUAGUUAAGCCUUUUAGUCUUAGAGUCUUUUAAAUGAUUAAAAUCAAUGGUGAGAAACCUUUAUUUUUUUCAUUUCAAAUUUAAAAAAAUAAUUGAGUCCCCUAGGAAAAAGGAUGUAUUUUCUUAGUGCUGGGAUCAACUACCUACCCAUUGAAGCAUUGAAGGCUAACAAAAAAUGUGAAAUGACCCUACAAGCUAGGUCUUAUUUCCACUUUACAG